CACAAGUAUUCAUAGACAACCGAGGAAGUGCUACAGUUAUUUGGUAAAACUUUCACAAUAUGAGUCGACUAAGUAAAAAUUUACAUAUUAAUUUUAAAGAAUAUUGGGAGAAAAGUGGUAUAUAAUUUUUGUUAAUAUUUUAAAUUUGCGACGGAUGAAUUCAAAAUUAGCAAAGUUAGACUAACAAAAAGAAUACUCAAGUGAAUAUGUGCAUUAAAUAAAAAAAUGUGAAGUGAUUUGAUUAAAAUUUAGUAAACUUGUAUUAUAAUGGCAUAAAAUCAAAGUGUGCAUUAGUGUAAACUGAACAAAAAGUGCAAAGUGCAACUAAUAGCAGAUUGUGUAGGCUCACUAUUAAAUUUUAUUUAUAAAUAAUGUUUCACAUUUUUAUAUUUGCAAUUAUUAUCUAUACGUAAAUCCCUUUAGUUCUAAAUAUGUGCAAUAUUUAUUUUAUUCAUUAUUGUUUUAAUUUUUACACACACAUCUUUCUCUUUUUGUUUUUUCGGGGUUUUUUAUUAAGCGGGGAAUUUUCUCGUUUGUUUAAAAUACUUUAUAUUUCUGCUAUGUAUCCAUUUCUUUUCUGCUAUGUUACGCUAUAAUGUGACUUACGCUCUUUUAGUUUUAUCAUGUUGGAAAAGUACAAUAAUUAUUAAAAUUUACGUCUUCGAAUAACAUAGAUUUGGGAUCCAUCGUUUGAUAUUUGAUACGACGUGACGUUUCAGAAAGAAAUUUACCUAGUUUUUUAAAGAACAUGGUUACAAUAAUUGUACACUCAGUCAAAUCAAUUUUAUAAUCAACAAUUUUACAAUAUUUAAUGCAAAUAAUACACAUAAUAAGUAUUAAAAAUUAAAAUACUAAUAUUGUAUGGUUUAAAUUAAAAUACAAUAUUGACAGCAUGACAACGACAUCUGUGAGAUAUUUUUUGACAUCAGCAACUUCGGUUAUUGUCGUCAGGCGAGAGGACAUCGAAAGAUCGAGAUGAAAAAAAGAAAGAAAAUCAAGCUGCCUAUCUCACACAUCAUACCAUCUAAAAGGAAGAAAUUGUUUCUGUAAUACAACGUGAAUUAUUUUUGCGAACUCAUCCCCGCAAAUCGUACCGGUGAUAAAGGAAAGGAAAAUUUAUAAAAAAGAAAAUAGAAGAUGGUAUCUAUAUAAAAAUGAUAUACAUCCUAGUUGGUAUUAUAGCUAUUGCUAUUAUAUGGUGCUUUGUCAUUAAAAAAUAUAAAGUAGUCCAACAACAACAGCAAACCAAAAGCAACAAUAAUAAUAUGAGUUCUCCACUUAUACCACUUUCAACACUGUCUCAAGUUCAACAAAAAGUUACUUUGGAAUACGUCAAUGAGAUGGAGAAGUAAUUAUAAUAAAAAUUGACUCUCUAGUUAACAGCUUUCCAGUAAUGAUCUAAGACUAAAAUAUUGGAACAAAAAUUUGAUAGACGACUAUAAAUUAGUUACAAUUGAGUAUUAUUUUAAAUAAUUUUUAUUUCUUACUUAUUCUAGCUAUCUAUAGAUGUAUUCCAAUUUAAAGAGAAACACGUUUAGAGAGAUUUUUAACAAUUUAAUUUGCAGAAAAUGACUUGUGUUAAGUCAAUAAGCAAUUACUGCCAAAGCAUAAUAUGUGAUUAUUAAAAAAAAAUUUGUAAUAAUUAAAAAUGAUUAGUUCCUAUAUUAUAUUAAAUCGUAUCCAGUAUUUGAGCAAUGUGAUUUUUAAGUAACCUGCUAAAAUGUUUAGCUUAACAGUUUGGUGUAAUUCUAUUAUGCAUCUUCUUCCGAAGUGACACGGAAUAAGUGUUUUCGAAAUAUAAACUAUUUUGCGGAAUAUAUCAAUUAUUCAAUGAAAGCAUAAAAUAUAAAAUUAUGUCUU
rnacentral:misc_RNA from 1 species